UAUGACUUAAAGAAAAGAAAAAAAACAAAUGUUUAUAAUCCCAAAGUUUCAACACGUACGUUUAUAAAAGCUUACUAUGAAAUCGUCUUACGAUUUAACGGUAUUAAAAAAAAGUUUUUAGUUUCAGCGAGCAAUCGAAAAAGGCUUAAAAAAAUAUAUGAGAAUUACCAUUCGACCCUGAUUUGUGGCUAAAUGGAAAGACCUCUAUUAACGAGACGAAGAUCGAUUCACUGGUUACAAGGAAAAUAGAUUUGAUAUUCAACCGUAAGAAUCACUAAUCAAAUUAGAAGGAAGCCCGUCCUCUGUCGUUCGCGAGGCGACCCCAUAACUGCGAAGGCACGGUCACCCAUUACAUUUGUGAAUAGUUUCGUGGUAUGGAGAAUUUUCGAGCGAAACUGUUACGAACCAACUUUGAAACGACGAUAUCAACGUCGACUGCUGCCCAAUAGAAUGGUACUUUCUAUUUGGGUUAACGACUUCGUAUUUUCCCUUACAGAUAACGUUAGACUAUAACUGAUUAUGAUUUCGAAGUUUGAGAUAACAACAAAGUAAGAAGAAAAGAAAAAGAGUAAUAAAAUUCACUUGAAAGGGAGUAUACAUAGUGCGAUCGAUAAAAUAUUUAGAAAGAUUUAAGCAGUUACUAAAGAUAUAUAAAUAAAACAAAAUAGAAAAAUAGCUAUAGUACAAUAGGACAGAACACAACAUGGAGACGACGCGGAAACGAUGCGGAAAGGACACGAAGACGACACGGAGAGCAUGCGUUCAUGAUACAGACACGAUACGGAAUGAAACAGAACAGAACGGAACUGCUCUGUCCUGUUCUAUUGUACUGUAAUUUUUUCAUUAUGUUUCAUUUAAAUAUCUUAAAUAUUGUUCAUCGAUAUAUUCAUCAUAUCUUAAUUUUUACAACGUAGAUAUACAUUUUUUAAAUAUAUCUAUAUAAUUAACAAGUUAAUGAUAAAGAAAAAAAGAAGGACACUUUGAUUUGGGUUAAUAGCGUUAAUCUUUAUAAUGGACAAGGCUAAUAUGAUUACUAAUUUUAAGAAGCGAGUUGAAAUAGUAACACUUAUGAAUUUCCACUUGAAAUAUUUCAACGAUCUUACAUGAGUUCUCACGUAACAUAUCAUUGCUUCGAACGUUCGAAGGAAAGUCCAGCAUCCCGUUCGGUCGACAAAAAUUUUUCACACGGUUCAACGAGUGUGCGGUCAUCGCGAUUCCCGAUUUCCUUCCUUCCUUCCUUCCUUCCUUCCGUUUGUCGGAUUCGCGCUGACUUGGAGAUUUCUCAUAGCUAUUUCCAGUAAGUAUGAAAGAAUGGAACUGGAAAUGAGAGAAAGAAGAGCGCGAAAGUCUCUGAUAACCGUAAUAACUGGAUUUUUCGUUGUGAACGGACGAGUGGAAAAGUAAGAGAAAGAAAGAAAGAAAGAAAGAAAGAAAGAAAGAAAGAAAGAGAGAAAGAGAGUCCGUUUAAAUCCAUCGACGAGAACCGACGAUAUCGACAAGUUCGUGAGAUUUUCUCGCUGACAGUGUAAGAAGAAAAGAAGUGCACGGUAAAGCGUCAUCGACAAUUCUUUUCCUUUCAUCUAUAGUAUCGUUCGAGAUGGACUCAUCAUUUGUUUCGUAUCGAUAAUGCCCUCUGGUAUUUCACGGUGAGAAACGAAAAUAAAAAGUAGGGUGGCACCGCUGAUAAUGGUCGUAGUUGCUAACGUGAAGAGAAAAAUAGAGAGAGAGAGAGAGAGAGAGAGAGAGAGAGAGAUAAAAGAGAGAGAAGAAAUAAUAAAAAGGAGGGUUGGCUAUUCCGUAGUGCACAUUUAAAUAAUUGCUUUCAUCCCUGCGUUUUCAUCCUUGAUUCUUUUCUAUCUUCUUUCUUUCUAUUUCUCUGCUUCUGUAUCUCUCUCUUUUUCUCCAAUUCUUACGUGGUGAGACAUGUCGGCAUAUUUAAGUUCAAAGUUUCACGUAUAUUCAUUCGUCUGAAUUUAGUAUAAUUUCUGUAAAUAUCAAUUUUUUCCAAUAAAAUAUAUUUCUAAUUUGAUUCCUCGAUUAAUAUAUUUAAUCUAUGAUCAAUGAACAACGAUAUAAAUACGUAGAGUUUAACGUAUUUGCAAAUUUAUAUAAAUUAUUUAACGAAGUACUAUAAUUCAUCUGCAAUAAUUAUACAUUAGAAUGAUAUUUAUACUCGCACCAACCUAAAUAAUAUCUAUAAUUCAUAUUAAUCCUUUUGAAAUAUUUUGUAUGGAUUCGUGUUUUUCGAAAAGUCGAUACAUAAUAUUCAAUGAAUUGUUUCUAUUAUAAAUGUGUAUUAG